UGAGACAGGUGCUGCAUGGCUGUCGUCAGCUCGUGUUGUGAAAUGUUGGGUUAAGUCCCGCAACGAGCGCAACCCUUAUCCUUUGUUGCCAGCGGUCCGGCCGGGAACUCAAAGGAGACUGCCAGUGAUAAACUGGAGGAAGGUGGGGAUGACGUCAAGUCAUCAUGGCCCUUACGAGUAGGGCUACACACGUGCUACAAUGGCAUAUACAAAGAGAAGCGACCUCGCGAGAGCAAGCGGACCUCAUAAAGUAUGUCGUAGUCCGGAUUGGAGUCUGCAACUCGACUCCAUGAAGUCGGAAUCGCUAGUAAUCGUGGAUCAGAAUGCCACGGUGAAUACGUUCCCGGGCCUUGUACACACCGCCCGUCACACCAUGGGAGUGGGUUGCAAAAGAAGUAGGUAGCUUAACCUUCGGGAGGGCGCUUACCACUUUGUGAUUCAUGACUGGGGUGAAGUCGUAACAAGGUAACCGUAGGGGAACCUGCGGUUGGAUCACCUCCUUACCUUAAAGAAGC
rnacentral:rRNA from 1 species